UUGCCCCUGCUGUGUACGUGAUCAGACGGAAGCUGUUGAGCCAAUGAAAUCGUAACGGGAGUUCUUACCUACCGUGGACGGCAUGCCCCCUAAUCGGGGAUCCGAUAAGCGGCACAAGGACGCCCACCUUUCCGGGAAAGGUUCAACGAGAACCUCAACCGACACGGCAUGAGCGGGGGCAUC
rnacentral:other from 1 species